rnacentral:rRNA from 1 species
CCUACGGGAGGCUGCAGUGGGGAAUAUUGGACAAUGGGGGCAACCCUGAUCCAGCCAUGCCGCGUGUGUGAAGAAGGCCCUCGGGUUGUAAAGCACUUUCAGUGAGGAAGAACGCCUGGUGGUUAAUACCCAUCAGGAAAGACAUCACUCACAGAAGAAGCACCGGCUAACUCCGUGCCAGCAGCCGCGGUAAUACGGAGGGUGCGAGCGUUAAUCGGAAUUACUGGGCGUAAAGCGCGCGUAGGUGGCUUGAUAAGCCGGUUGUGAAAGCCCCGGGCUCAACCUGGGAACGGCAUCCGGAACUGUCAAGCUAGAGUGCAGGAGAGGAAGGUAGAAUUCCCGGUGUAGCGGUGAAAUGCGUAGAGAUCGGGAGGAAUACCAGUGGCGAAGGCGGCCUUCUGGACUGACACUGACACUGAGGUGCUAAAGCGUGGGUAGCAAACAGGAUUAGAUACCCUUGUAGUC